GCCCUCAGGUGUUCACUCACAGCGACGCGGAGACGGGGCUCAGCUGGAGGAGGACGAGGCGCUUUCCAGUUUCUUCUCUUGUUCCUUCAUAUCUGACUGUGAAACCGGGACUUGUUUGCACGAGUGGCUCCGGGAUCACAACUGAAGCAAAAACCGCCUCCAGGUUUGGAUAGGUGUACUGGUGACUGACAUUUCCACUGCACAGUACCUACACCCUGCUACUAGUUUCUAUUCGUCUAUGCCUUGAGCCUCCGAUGCGCUGGUGACCAGUCCAUACAUUUUGUGCCCAUCUUUGUCAAGAUCAUAGUUGCUCACGUCAUCUAAUGCGACAGCGAUUGCCAAGCGCUCAAGUGGAAUGACGUCCACCACCAGAUCGGGCGACCACUCUUGGACUAUUUACAGCUGCUGAAGAAGGUCCAGCUCUCCCUUGUGGAUUUGGGUCGGAAAUCGGAGCGUCCCAGGUUCAUGAUGCGCGAGGAGAAGCGCAGCAGGCGUCUGUGGCCGUAGGGCCAGUUCAUCCGGGCGGCAGAGGAGGACAGACAGUUUUCCUCGUUGGCACAGCUUAGCAAGUGGAGCGGCCGGUCUUCCAGGUGACCCCGGCCGCCUUCGGUCCCCCCCCUCGCGGACAGUGCAUGUGGUUGUUCCGGCGGCACUGCUGAAUUGAGAACUCCGUGCCGACGCAGUGAGUUCCACUGAGGAUCAAUUCUGCUGCGUUUGGGUCGCUGGACCAGUACCAGAUUGAAGGAGCGCUCCAGUUAAUCAAAGAGAUGGAGCUGGUCGCUCAGGGCCGUUUUUACUAAAGAUGCAGCAAAUCCGUGUCCCAGUUGUCUGCACACCACCAUGGCCUCGUUGAUGCCCCAGUUUUCACUACAGACCGAACCCCAACGCUUUCGGCCGCCCACUUCCAUCAGCACCUCCACUCGGCCCUCUGAGGGAACCCUGCCACCAGCCAGACGCACCUGUAAACACAUGGAUGUUACAACGCACUGAAGCGUCUUGGCUGUGUUUGAACGUCCAUGGUUGAACCUCCUGGAAGAAGCAGUCAAGAAUGGAGCGCUCCGUCCCCGUGCACUGGACACUGUUCAUGUGGAUGGGCCCGGUACCUACACAGUUGCGGGUGAGCUGGAGCCCAUCCCAGCUGCCAGUGGGCACGAGGUGGCGUGCAUCCUUGUAUGGCUGCCGUAGAAUCACGAAACACGUGAAGACAAACAACAAUUUCGAGUCUUCAAUGAAUCUUACCUUCGUGCUUGUUUGGAAUGUGCGAGAAAGCCACGGAUCCGACCAAACAUGAAAAGGACAAGCAAACUCCACACAGGUGGGCCUGAGCUGGGAUUCAAACCCAGGAACUCUAAACUAUGUGGCAGAUAUGCUAUCCUCUGCUCAUUAUGUUGUCUAGACCAUUUUUUUGACGAAGUAGCGGUCUUGAUGUGAUGUUUUUUUGUUUCGUCAUUUUUUUGGGUGGAGGGUGGUGUAUUAUUUUGCCAACUCCAAUUCGUUUACUGUUAUUUUGAGAAUUUACAGCAGGCAAAUAAAACAA